GACGAACGCUGGCGGCGUGCUUAACACAUGCAAGUCGAGCGGAAAGGCCCUUCGGGGUACUCGAGCGGCGAACGGGUUAGUAACACGUGGGUAACCUGCCCUUCACUCUGGGAUAACUCCGGGAAACCGGGGCUAAUACCGGAUACGACCACUUUAGGCAUCUUCGGUGGUGGAAAGUUUUUCGGUUGGAGGAUGGACCCGCGGCCUAUCAGCUUGUUGGUGGGGUAAGUGGCCUACCAAGGCAGUGACGGGUAGCCGGCCUGAGAGGGCGACCGGCCACACUGGGACUGAGACACGGCCCAGACUCCUACGGGAGGCAGCAGUGGGGAAUAUUGCGCAAUGGGCGGGAAGCCUGACGCAGCGACGCCGCGUGCAGGAAGAAGGCCUUCUGGGUUGUAAACUAGCUUUUGUCCAGGGAGUAAAAUAGACUGUGCGCAGUUAAUUGAAGGUACCUGGUGAAUAAGCACCGGCUAACUACGUGCCACGCCG
rnacentral:rRNA from 1 species